rnacentral:rRNA from 1 species
UACGUAGGGUGCGAGCGUUAAUCGGAAUUACUGGGCGUAAAGCGUGCGCAGGCGGCUUUGCAAGACAGAUGUGAAAUCCCCGGGCUCAACCUGGGAACUGCAUUUGUGACUGCAAGGCUAGAGUACGGCAGAGGGGGAUGGAAUUCCGCGUGUAGCAGUGAAAUGCGUAGAUAUGCGGAGGAACACAAAUGGCGAAGGCAAUCCCCUGGGCCUGUACUGACGCUCAUGCACGAAAGCGUGGGGAGCAAACAGG